rnacentral:rRNA from 1 species
GACGAACGCUAGCGGCGUGCUUAACACAUGCAAGUCGAACGGAAAGGCCCUGCUUUUGUGGGGUGCUCGAGUGGCGAACGGGUGAGUAACACGUGAGUAACCUGCCCUUGACUUUGGGAUAACUUCAGGAAACUGGGGCUAAUACCGGAUAGGAGCUCCUGCUGCAUGGUGGGGGUUGGAAAGUUUCGGCGGUUGGGGAUGGACUCGCGGCUUAUCAGCUUGUUGGUGGGGUAGUGGCUUACCAAGGCUUUGACGGGUAGCCGGCCUGAGAGGGUGACCGGCCACAUUGGGACUGAGAUACGGCCCAGACUCCUACGGGAGGCAGCAGUGGGGAAUAUUGCACAAUGGGCGGAAGCCUAAUGCAGCAACGCCGCGUGCGGGAUGACGGCCUUCGGGUUGUAAACCGCUUUCGCCUGUGACGAAGCGUGAGUGACGGUAAUGGGUAAAGAAGCACCGGCUAACUACGUG